AUUGAACGCUGGCGGCAGGCCUAACACAUGCCAGUCGAGCGGAUGAAGGGAGCUUGCUCCUGGAUUCAGCGGCGGACGGGUGAGUAAUGCCUAGGAAUCUGCCUGGUAGUGGGGGAUAACGUCCUGAAACGGGCGCUAAUACCGCAUACGUCCUGAGGGAGAAAGUGGGGGAUCUUCGGACCUUACGCUAUCAGAUGAGCCUAGGUCGGAUUAGCUAGUUGGUGGGGUAAAGGCCUACCAAGGCGACGAUCCGUAACUGGUCUGAGAGGAUGAUCAGUCACACUGGAACUGAGACACGGUCCAGACUCCUACGGGAGGCAGCAGUGGGGAAUAUUGGACAAUGGGCGAAAGCCUGAUCCAGCCAUGCCGCGUGUGUGAAGAAGGUCUUCGGAUUGUAAAGCACUUUAAGUUGGGAGGAAGGGCAGUAAGUUAAUACCUUGCUGUUUUGACGUUACCAACAGAAUAAGCACCGGCUAACUUCGUG
rnacentral:rRNA from 1 species